rnacentral:misc_RNA from 1 species
GAAGCAUCUCGUCGAGCACACCAAGGACCGGAUGUCCGAUUACUGCACGACGCUCAAAGGCGAAGAGUGCUGCAGCUGCUGGGACGCUGUCGAAGAAUUCAAUAAACUCGAGAUGGAGCUGCCAAGAGCGGAGCUGGAGACGGUGGUGAAGGAUGCCGGCGGCGACAUGGGCCACCUGAUCAGUGCCAUCCACCGCCGUGCGCA